rnacentral:rRNA from 1 species
GACGUAGGGCGCGAGCGUUGUCCGGAUUUAUUGGGCGUAAAGAGCUCGUAGGCGGCUUGUCGCGUCGACUGUGAAAACCCGCGGCUCAACUGCGGGCUUGCAGUCGAUACGGGCAGGCUAGAGUUCGGUAGGGGAGACUGGAAUUCCUGGUGUAGCGGUGAAAUGCGCAGAUAUCAGGAGGAAUACCGAUGGCGAAGGCAGGUCUCUGGGCUGACACUGACGCUCAUGCACGAAAGCGUGGGGAGCAAACAGG